GGGGCUCGGCGCGAGGAGCGGCGCUUUGUGUGCCCGCGGCCGCGGCCGCAGCGCGGCAUUGUCUGCGGGAUCCGCCGGCGGUGCCGGGCUUUGUGCGGGUGAUUCCCCUUUCUGCAAGAAUUCCCUGUCUCCGGGCUCCGUGCAUGCAGCAAAUGCGUUAUGGAGACGAGCGGAGCCCCCUCGCCUUAAAGAAAAGUAGAAAGGGAGCAAAACGGAGGGAUCCGAGCAUGCAGAAAGGAAAGACGAGACUCACGGCCGCUGGCUGCAGCAUGCACAGGAAAGAUCGCUACUUACCGAGCGGGAACUCCUCGGACAGGAGUUGGAAAAAAAUACUGCGGUGAUGUCCAGGUUUUCUUCCACCCGCGCUCGCUUUUUAUACAAGUGCAACCCUCUGUCUAUUUCUGGAACGCGAUCAAAACCCUGAUGCUAUUUUUAGCAGUGUCUUUGUAAAGUGGGCUUGGGAGAAAACACAACAACCACCAUGCACCACUUGGCCAUUGUGCACAAACGUGGGUUUCAGGCGGGGAUGCUUUGCCGGGAGACUGAGGUGGCUCCAUACGGUGAAUUGCACCCAGCACAAAGAAGGGCUGCUGGGGUUUUUUGUUUUUUUUUUUUUGUUUUUUUAAUUCUCUCCUCGCCCCCUGCCUUUCUCCCCCUUAAAAAAAUACCAUCCUUUGUUUGGAGAAUAAAGGAUCUAUAAAUAUAUAU
rnacentral:lncRNA from 7 species